rnacentral:rRNA from 1 species
UUGUACGAGAAUUUUUAAUUCAAGUGGCGGACGGGUGAGUAACACGUAAGAAUUUACCUUUAGGAGGGGGACAACAAUUGGAAACGAUUGCUAAUACCCCAUAUGCUUUCGAGUGAAAUGGUCCUUUGGGCCGCCUAGAGAGAAGCUUGCGGCUGAUUAGCUUGUUGGUGAGGUAAUGGCUUACCAAGGCGACGAUCAGUAUCUGGUUUGAGAGGAUGAUCAGACACACUGGAACUGAGACACGGUCCAGACUCCUACGGGAGGCAGCAGUAGGGAAUUUUCCGCAAUGGGCGAAAGCCUGACGGAGCAAUACCGCGUGAGGGAUGACUGCCUAUGGGUUGUAAACCUCUUUUUUCAGGGAGGAAUAUAAUGACGUGUACCUGAAGAAUAAGCAUCGGCUAACUCCGUGCCAGCAGCCGCGGUAAGACGGAGGAUGCAAGUGUUAUCCGGAAUCACUGGGCGUAAAGCGUCUGUAGGUGGUUUAAUAAGUCAACUGUUAAAUCUUGAGGCUCAACCUCAAAAUCGCAGUCGAAACUAUUAGACUAGAGUAUAGUAGGGGUAAAGGGAAUUUCCAGUGGAGCGGUGAAAUGCGUAGAUAUUGGAAGGAACACCGAUGGCGAAGGCACUUUACUGGGCUAUUACUAACACUCAGAGACGAAAGCUAGGGUAGCAAAUGGGAUUAGAUACCCUGGUAGUCCCCUGAAUUCCAGCACACU